rnacentral:rRNA from 1 species
CCUACGGGAGGCAGCAGUGGGGAAUCUUGCGCAAUGGGCGAAAGCCUGACGCAGCAACGCCGCGUGCGGGAAGAAGGCCUUCGGGUUGUAAACCGCUUUCAGAAGGAACGAAAAUGACGGUACUUUCAGAAGAAGGUGCGGCCAACUACGUGCCGGCAGCCGCGGUGACACGUAGGCACCAAGCGUUGUCCGGAUUUAUUGGGCGUAAAGAGCUCGUAGGCGGUUCGGUAAGUCAGAUGUGAAAACUUUGGGCUCAACCCAAAGCCUGCAUCUGAUACUGCUGUGACUUGAGUUCGGUAGGGGAGUGGGGAAUUCCUAGUGUAGCGGUGAAAUGCGCAGAUAUUAGGAGGAACACCGGUGGCGAAGGCGCCACUCUGGGCCGAAACUGACGCUGAGGAGCGAAAGCGUGGGUAGCAAACAGGAUUAGAUACCCUGGUAGUCCACGCCGUAAACGUUGGGCACUAGGUGUGGGUUCCAACCAACGGAAUCCGCGCCGUCGCUAACGCAUUAAGUGCCCCGCCUGGGGAGGUACGGUCGCGAGACUAAACUACAAGAAGUAGACGGCGNGAGACGUGUCCGACGGACGACGACGAGGGGAGGUAGG